GCCGGAAUAGCUCAGUUGGUAGAGCAGCGCAUUCGUAAUGCGAAGGUCGGGGGUUCGACUCCUCUUUCCGGCA
rfam:Pandoraea thiooxydans strain DSM 25325, complete genome.